GACGAACGCUGGCGGCGUGCUUAACACAUGCAAGUCGAACGGAAAGGCCCUGCUUUUGUGGGGUGCUCGAGUGGCGAACGGGUGAGUAACACGUGAGUAACCUGCCCUUGACUUUGGGAUAACUUCAGGAAACUGGGGUUAUAACCGGAAAGGACUUCUUCCUCCUUGGUGGGGGUUGAAAAGUUUCGGCGGUUGGGGAUGGACUCGCGGCUUAUCAGCUUGUUGGUGGGGUAGUGGCUUACCAAGGCUUUGACGGGUAGCCGGCCUGAGAGGGUGACCGGCCACAUUGGGACUGAGAUACGGCCCAGACUCCUACGGGAGGCAGCAGUGGGGAAUAUUGCACAAUGGGCGGAAGCCUGAUGCAGCAACGCCGCGUGCGGGAUGACGGCCUUCGGGUUGUAAACCGCUUUCGCCUGUGACGAAGCGUGAGUGACGGUAAUGGGUAAAGAAGCACCGGCUAACUACGUG
rnacentral:rRNA from 1 species